GGAUAACCUACCCUUAGGACUGGGAUAACCCUGGGAAACUGGGGAUAAUACUAGAUAGGCAAUUUUUCCUGGAAUGGUUUUUUGUUUAAAUGUUUUUUCGCCUAAGGAUGGGUCUGCGGCCGAUUAGGUAGUUGGUUAGGUAACGGCUUACCAAGCCAUUGAUCGGUACGGGUUGUGAGAGCAAGAGCCCGGAGAUGGAACCUGAGACAAGGUUCCAGGCCCUACGGGGUGCAGCAGGCGCGAAACCUCCGCAAUGUGAGAAAUCGCGACGGGGGGAUCCCAAGUGCCAUUCUUAACGGGAUGGCUUUUCAUUAGUGUAAAGAGCUUUUGGAAUAAGGGCUGGGCAAGACCGGUGCCAGCCGCCGCGGUAACACCGGCAGCUCUAGUGGUAGCAGUUUUUAUUGGGCCUAAAGCGUCCGUAGCCGGUUUAAUAAGUCUCUGGUGAAAUCCUGUAGCUUAACUGUGGGAAUUGCUGGAGAUACUAUUAGACUUGAGACCGGGAGAGGUUAGAGGUACUCCCAGGGUAGAGGUGAAAUUCUGUAAUCCUGGGAGGACCGCCUGUUGCGAAGGCGUCUAACUGGAACGGUUCUGACGGUGAGGGACGAAAGUUAGGGGCGCGAACCGGAUUAGAUACCCGGGUAGUCCUAACUGUAAACGAUGCGGACUUGGUGUUGGGGGUGGCUUUGAGCUGCUCCAGUGCCGAAAGGGAAGCUGUUAAGUCCGCCGCCUGGGAAG
rnacentral:rRNA from 1 species